AUUGAACGCUGGCGGCAGGCUUAACACAUGCAAGUCGAGCGGGGGAAGGUAGCUUGCUACCGGACCUAGCGGCGGACGGGUGAGUAAUGCUUAGGAAUCUGCCUAUUAGUGGGGGACAACAUCUCGAAAGGGAUGCUAAUACCGCAUACGUCCUACGGGAGAAAGCAGGGGAUCUUCGGACCUUGCGCUAAUAGAUGAGCCUAAGUCGGAUUAGGUAGUUGGUGGGGUAAAGGCCUACCAAGGCGACGAUCUGUAGCGGGUCUGAGAGGAUGAUCCGCCACCCUGGGACGGGUAAACGGCCCAGACUACUACGGGAGGCAGCAGUGGGGAAGAUUGGACAAUGGGGGGAACCCUGAUCCAGCCAUGCCGCGUGUGUGAAGAAGGCCUUAUGGUUGUAAAGCACUUUAAGCGAGGAGGAGGCUACUCAGAUUAAUACUCUAGGAUAGUGGACGUUACUCGCAGAAUAAGCACCGGCUAACUCUGUGCCAGCCGCCGCCGUAA
rnacentral:rRNA from 1 species